rnacentral:rRNA from 1 species
UCCGCCUGGGGAGUACGGUCGCAAGAUUGAAACUCAAAGGAAUUGACGGGGGCCCGCACAAGCGGUGGAGCAUGUGGUUUAAUUUGAAGCAACGCGAAGAACCUUACCAGGUCUUGACAUCCUCUGACAACCCUAGAGAUAGGGCUUUCCCUUCGGGGACAGAGUGACAGGUGGUGCAUGGUUGUCGUCAGCUCGUGUCGUGAGAUGUUGGGUUAAGUCCCGCAACGAGCGCAACCCUUGAUCUUAGUUGCCAGCAUUUAGUUGGGCACUCUAAGGUGACUGCCGGUGACAAACCGGAGGAAGGUGGGGAUGACGUCAAAUCAUCAUGCCCCUUAUGACCUGGGCUACACACGUGCUACAAUGGACAGAACAAAGGGCUGGGAGACCGCAAGGUUUAGCCAAUCCCACAAAUCUGUUCUCAGUUCGGAUCGCAGUCUGCAACUCGACUGCGUGAAGCUGGAAUCGCUAGUAAUCGCGGAUCAGCAUGCCGCGGU